rnacentral:rRNA from 1 species
UACAUGGGGUGCAAACGUUGCUCGGAAUUAUUGGGCGUAAAGCGCACGUAGGUGGUCUGUUAUGUCAGAUGUGAAAGCCCUCGGCUUAACUGAGGAAGUGCACCUGAAACUGGCAGGCUUGAGUACGAAAGAGGGUCGCGGAAUUCCCGGGUGUAGAGGUGAAAUUCGUAGAUAUCGGGAGGAACACCGGUGGCGAAGGCGGCGACCUGGGUAGAUACUGACGCUGAGGUGCGAAAGCGUGGGGAGCAAACAGG